rnacentral:rRNA from 1 species
AUUGAACGCUGGCGGCAUGCUUUACACAUGCAAGUCGAACGGCAGCACGGGGGCAACCCUGGUGGCGAGUGGCGAACGGGUGAGUAACACAUCGGAACGUGUCCAGUUGUGGGGGAUAACCCAUCGAAAGGUGGGCUAAUACCGCAUGAGCUGGCAACAGGAAAGCGGGGUACCCGCAAGGGCCUUGUGCGAUUGGAGCGGCCGAUGUCCGAUUAGCUAGUUGGUGGGGUAAAGGCCUACCAAGGCUUCGAUCGGUAGCUGGUCUGAGAGGAUGAUCAGCCACACUGGGACUGAGACACGGCCCAGACUCCUACGGGAGGCAGCAGUGGGGAAUUUUGGACAAUGGGGGCAACCCUGAUCCAGCCAUGCCGCGUGA